GCCUACGGGGCGCAGCAGUAGGGAAUCUUCCACAAUGGGCGAAAGCCUGAUGGAGCAACGCCGCGUGGGUGAAGAAGGUCUUCGGAUCGUAAAACCCUGUUGUUAGAGAAGAAAGUGCGUGAGAGUAACUGUUCACGUUUCGACGGUAUCUAACCAGAAAGCCACGGCUAACUAUGUGCCAGCAGCCGCGGUAAUACGUAGGUGGCAAGCGUUAUCCGGCUUUAUUGGGCGUAAAGGGAACGCAGGCGGUCUUUUAAGUCUGAUGUGAAAGCCUUCGGCUUAACCGGAGUAGUGCAUUGGAAACU
rnacentral:rRNA from 1 species